rnacentral:rRNA from 1 species
GAUGAACGCUGGCGGCGUGCCUAAUACAUGCAAGUCGAGCGAACGGACGAGAAGCUUGCUUCUCUGAUGUUAGCGGCGGACGGGUGAGUAACACGUGGAUAACCUACCUAUAAGACUGGGAUAACUUCGGGAAACCGGAGCUAAUACCGGAUGAUAUUUUGAACCGCAUGGUUCAAAAGUGAAAGACGGUCUUGCUGUCACUUAUAGAUGGAUCCACGCUGCAUUAGCUAGUUGGUAAUGUAACGGCUUACCAAGGCAACGAUGCAUAGCCGACCUGAGAGGGUGAUCAGCCACACUGGAACUGAGACACGGUCCAGACUCCUACGGGAGGCAGCAGUAGGGAAUCUUCCGCAAUGGGCGAAAGCCUGACGGAGCAACGCCGCGUGAGUGAUGAAGGUCUUCGGAUCGUAAAACUCUGUUAUUAGGGAAGAACAUAUGUGUAAGUAACUGUGCACAUCUUGACGUUACCUAAUCAGAAAGCCACGGCUAACUACGUG